UACGUAGGGUGCAAGCGUUAAUCGGAAUUACUGGGCGUAAAGCGUGCGCAGGCGGUUUUGUAAGUCAGAUGUGAAAUCCCCGGGCUUAACCUGGGAACUGCGUUUGAAACUACAAGGCUAGAGUGUGGCAGAGGGGGGUGGAAUUCCACGUGUAGCAGUGAAAUGCGUAGAGAUGUGGAGGAACACCGAUGGCGAAGGCAGCCUCCUGGGCCAGCACUGACGCUCAUGCACGAAAGCGUGGGGAGCAAACAGG
rnacentral:rRNA from 1 species